CAGCUGAAUGAGAAAGGAAAACACUGAGCCUUGCUUGGGUAUCGAACCUUAGGACUCCAAUGCAUUCUGUAUGGUUGUCACUGACACUGAACCAACAAGGAGUCUACAGAGAGUAUCAGGUUUCCUAUCAAAGCAGUUUCUCUUUUCAACUAGGAAAUCAUCAUGAUGGAGAUUUUUAAACAAACAAGCAUUGAGUGAAGAACAAGCAAUGAACUUAGUAUGCUAUUAACAACAGAGCAGGAAAGCAAAUCAAUGACUCUUGUCUUGGGAUUGAAACCAGGGACCCCUGCAUUCCCUUAGGCUAUCGCUGCCAGUAGACCAACAAAGGCUCUCUGGGCAGUUCAAUACCUGGUUCCCCCAAGAAAAAAAGGGAAGACAUCAGUGGAACAAGAGUUGGAAGAACAUCAGUGGUAACAUGACUAGGACCUUCCUGAAGAACUGCAUAGUGCUGGGGCAGUGACAUUUUACUAUCUGCGACAUGACACUGUAUAUCUUGAAACAUUUCCAGUUGCUAUCCAGUGCUUACUUCAGUCACUUUUACAUUCUCCUUCAUCUAAUAUUUACUAUGCAGUAAAGGAAAUAUAAGUUGCAAAAGCUAUGCAAAAGUAUAUUUAUAUUUUACUUAAUCAACUCUUUCUUUCAAAUGUUCUUGGGUCACCAUGGAACUACAAGCAAGGUGAUCACAACCUUACAUGGAUAAUGAGAUGUAAUUAAGUGAGCUAUGUACAGACAGUCUUUGGUGUAUUGUUGCAACAUAGAUUAACUCUGCUUAAAAUUAAAAUGUGAAAUAAAUACA